CCGCGGAAGCCUCGCUUUUCCCGAGCCCCUUUUAUUUGGCUCUGCUCUGGGUCCUUCCCGGCCAGGCGGGGAGGAAACCGCCCGCCCCCCGCGUGGCCGCCAGGGGAACAUCUGGGCGGCCGCGCCGCAAACAUCUGGAGCGGCCGCGGCGCAUCUCCCGGCGGCCGCAGCUGGAGGGUCCCGGCGCCGAGGGGCUGCCCGGGCCGGCAGCGAAACCCCAGGGAGGAGGGGCGCGGGAAAGCGGAGGAAGGGGCUGUUGGGGCGGCACAGGUGUUGCCUAGCAGAAAACCAUGGGCAAUUUCAAAGGGCAUGCCCUCCCUGGAAGCUUUUUUCUUCUUUUUGGCUUAUGGUGGUCCGUGAAGUAUCCACUGAAGUACGCCUGUCGAAAAAACAAGAACGCUUGCUACCUUGGCUCCAGGGCAGGAUUUCAGCGCCUGGAGUUUGUUGAGGGGAUCAUCAAAGCCGUCUUUGCCCUCAUUGGAAUGGUGGCUGAGCAGUUUGUUCCUGAUGGACCUCAUCUGAAGUUGUAUAACUAUGAGAAAAAGCACUGGGAUCACUUGAUGAACUGGCAACAUGCCACCAUGUACCUCUUCUAUGGCAUUUCGGGGUUGGUUGACAUCGUGGCGCAUGGGACCAAUGCACUGCCAGCAGCCAUGGACAGGAUGAUGCUUUCCUUAGCAGUCUUUAUUGAAGGUUUUCUCUUCUGCUACCAUCUUCACGGGAGAGCCAUGCUGGAUGUUCAUGUUCAUCAGUUACUGCUAUUUGCUAUCUUUGGAGCUGCUGCCUGCGUAUUUUUGGAAGUUUUCUUCCGUGGCAGUAUUGUGCUAGAAAUGCUCCGUACAAGCCUCUGCAUAUUACAAGGCAGCUGGUUCUGGCAGACUUCAACCAUCUGUGUGACUGAAAACCACACACUGGCUGCAGCAUGGGAUAUUUGUAAAAGAUUGGCUUUGUGCUUUAUCCUCCAAAUGGGAGCCCAGAGUGGAAUCAGACAGAUCAUACUAAUAUGAUGUUCUUGACCAUGUGCUAUUGCUGGCAUUAUGCCUUUGCUUUUCUUAUACUUGCAGUGAAUUACACAAUUGUCAGCUGGGCAGUUCGUUCAAAGGUUAAACGGUCCCAAUCCAUGGAAAUGGGUUUACUGAAAACAUGUGAACGAGAUCAUGAGUCAGAAGAUGAAAUUUAGUAUGAAUAUGGCUUGACUACCUUACUCGCUCAACUAUUAGGCUGAUAACCUCGUUUUUACAUUUUUUUGCCAUCUUAUUCAUUCAUUACUACAACUUGCUAUGCAAUUAUCAUUCCCCUAUGAUGUCUACAUCUACACAGUUACACCUUUGUUUUUGGAGGGUAAGCUUGGUAUCAAUUUGCAGUGGUUGCACUAGUACCUUGCUUAUUACAUGCUUCAAAGAAAAUCCAACUAAUAUUAGACUGACUUGGAGUGUAUGAGGUGGCACAAUGAAGUCUGCAUGUUGCCUUAUUAAAAGCUAAGCAAAAUGUUUUUCAGUCGCCACUGAACAUACUUUCAAGUUUCCAUAAUUAGGGUGUUCAAAUAUGCAUGUUUAUUGCCCUGCAAGUAACUGUGCAUAAAUAACUGUGCAGACCUGGAAAGCAGUAGAACAAGAUAAAAACCCCAGAAUCUUCCAUUUGCUUGGGGUUUUAUGUUAAACAGAAAGAACUUCUCACUGCGAACUCAUUCAAGGUUCCUUGAAGAAUGUGUAAUGUGUUCACUCCUACAGAGACACUACCAAGAUCAGUAGGAGGACCAAAGAGGUGUGUGAUGAUCAAAAGUCACUGCAGUUGUUCAUUCUUAUGCCUAGACAGUCCUGUCUUUUUGCUAUCAUUUGACUUUGUAAGGCAGUGAGAAUGACUCUGUCUUCCCUUGGCUUCUGGAGCAACUUUUUUUUUUUCCAGAAAGGCUGAGAGAUGUUCAGUCAGGCAGCAGCUGAAGGAAACUUUCUUUCCCAAAGUUAUUUCCUUUCUUUUGGUGAAGUUUGGUGGUUUUCUGCAGGAUUCAGAGCAGACAUGUGACCCAGAACCUGGGUCGGGAGUGGAUAAUGCUGAUCUGUGGGCAGGAUAAGAUGGUUUUGCAUCCUUUUCCCUGUGUCACCCCUGCAGUCACCAGGCAGUCUGCACAGUGCUGCACAGUGAGCUGAGCGGGAAGGGGAGGCAGAUGUUCCUUUCAGAGAAGCUUCAUGCCCAACUAUCCACAGCAGCAAGUGAAUUAAAAAAUAAUACUAGUUUUAAUUGCAUUAAUUUUCUCCAUUAAAACUGAGUCUUGAUCUAGUGAAAAGCAGGAUGUUCUUCCCAGUGCUCCAUGGAAUGCACUCCAACUUCAAGAAAAGAGAAAUAACUGGCACGUGGUAAAAGACAUCAGAAAAUGAUGUACAAAAGCACACUGCCCCUAAGGGGCACACUUUCAAAGCAUCAGUCUGACUCUAAAUAUGUCUUUUGAAUGACUGGCAUGGGCAACUUGUGGCACAGCUCUGUUUUCCAGAGGACUGACGUGGGAUGCAUGCUGGUGGCCAUUUUACAUAUCCAUCAGCAGUAAGGUGGCCAUGGCAAGGUGGUCGUGCCAGAAAACAGCCUCUCCCCUUCACAACUCCUUCUAAAAAAUUUUAUUUUGUGAUUUUUUUCAGACACAUGCUAGUGCAGGACAACAAAUUCUGUUCAAAUAGUGCCAGUUUGUCAGGUUUGGUGCUGCAAAUGGGUGUUUCUUCUGUUAUUCAAAUAUUUCCACAUGCUCUUAAGGGAAUGCAGAGCUGGACUGUGGUAGAUGAAUGAGAGUUGUAGGAUCUGGUCCCUCCGCUUUGUUGAGUUUUUCUCUUUUCUUUGCGUUAGAGAAGGUGGCAUUGAAUUACUAAACUUGAAGAAAUGCAAGGGAAAACAGAUACUGAAGUCUCAAAGAAACAGUAGGCUCGUGAAUUUAAUUUAUAAUACUUAGAGUACACGUAAAGUGAGUGUCAUAGUGGGGUUUUGUGCCUGAUGUAUUUAUGGUGCCACAAAGAAAAGAAACACCCUAUUUCAGGGUGAGUUUUUGCUACAUAGGACACCUGACCCGUUCUUCUCAAUCCAUGUUCAAAAGAGACUCCCAGGAACAGUGUGGGAGCUAUUACAGUGAAAAAGGUACAGCCUCCAUCAUUUCAUUAGCAACAGAUAUUGUUUGAGUCGAAUGAGGGGAGGGAAGUUUAACAAGUUUACAAACACCACUCAGAAAAAGGUAGCUGCUCUCAAGAAAAUUUAAAUUAUUUUUGAAUAUUAGAGCCUUUGAAAAACUAUAUGGUAGUUUUUAGUAGACAAGAUGCACCUGUAAUUUUAUUUAAAUAAAGUUGAUUUAUUCAUGUAA